rnacentral:lncRNA from 1 species
GGAUACAAGAGGGCAGAACUCAUUUUCUUUUAAUUACUUUUAUUCAGGUUAUAUCAUCUAGCAGAUGUUCAAGUUUCAUUUUGAAAAGUUGAAUCCGCCUGAAAUCCCAGCAUGUCAUUUUUGAUGGGACUUGCUCUCUCCGUCUUUACACAUACAUAAUGUAUUUUUGGGGGUUUUAUAUUAUUUUAUUUCUUAUUUUUUAAUCUUAGAGCUGAUAGGAGAAGUAUACACAGUGUUCCUGUUCACUGUUGGAGAACAUAAUUGGCCACCAACUCUCCGCUAGUAAAAUGGUGGAGGAGGUAAUACUGUGCAAAAAUGAGGUCAAACAAUAUGAGAGUUCUCAUUACCGAGCAAGUAGCCAGUGAAGUGUUUAACCUUCUCUCAAAGAUGAUGUACAUGUGAGGCAUGCAUGCUUUUGGAGAGGCCUAUGCAAGUUGCAGCUGGGUGGCGAGCUUCCGCUGGGACUGCAGGCUCACUUCAAGGACCAUUGGCCACUGAGUUUCUAUGUGGAUGGUGACUGAGCCACUAAUGUAAACUUGUAUCCUGAUUGUUUUAAAAACAUGUAUUAUUGGCCUGGUUCAUAGCAAUAAUGUAAGUUUCAUUAUAAAACAGCUUUUGUUGCAAACAACUUUAUAAGUCUAAAAUAUAUAUCAAACUUCUGAAUAUACAAGAGCCAUUUUCAUCCAUACCUGAAACACUCCUACAUGAAGUGAUUCAUAGCUGAUUCAGAACACAUAUAAAACUCCUGCAAAUAUAUUUAGGAAAGGAAGUAAAGGCUAUUUUAAAU